UGUUUGUUUCAGAGUAAAAAGUAUGCUUUGUGUUUAAAAUAUUUGUUAUUCGAAAAGAAACAUUUCAAAUUGUUGCAGAAACACACUGAUUUGAAAUGAGCGCUGCACGGCAGUGGUAUAUCUAUAAAACAACAACAACAACAACAACUGAAUCCCCCGAGCAGAAAGCAGCGCGUGCUAUUGAAACUGGAACAAUCAUUUUAAUCGUUCUAGCAAGCUUAUGCGCUUUCUUUGGGCUGUGCUGCUUGCCAUUCCUGGUUGGCAUUUGCUGUGGCCUGGGCUUGUGUGGCACGCAUCAUGCCUACGAGUAUGGCUAAUGCUUUUGAGCUGAAUCACUACUUGCAGAGUCGUCGUUGGCUUUUUUUUGGAUCUUGUGCGACUGCUUACAUUAAUUCAGAAAAUUCAAAUCCGUAGUAGAUCUAGUUGGCUGUGUUUAUAGUUAUAUUUGAGCCUUUCUUCAAAUUUUAUAUCAGAUUAGCAUCGCAUUUUUAAUCAAAAAUUAAACGUAUUUCUCAGUGAAAAUGGCGCUCGUAUUGUCAAAAUUUUUUUUGUGGCCAAUUUGGAUAAUUAUCAGUAUCUUUAUGUGCGCAUGCUGUUGCUUGUGUCUUCCUGUCAUUUGUGUAGUUCUGAUUUGCUAUAGAGCAUGUCAGCGUGAUCGUGAAAUAUAAACAAACUAACAAGUGCCCGGCUUUGCCCGUGGCAAGUCUUGUUCCCUAAUUUAGCAUAUAGCAUAUUUAGAAAAUUGUCAAUAUUUCGAAAAAUUUCCACUGUUGCGCGCGGAAUUUCAAAAAUCGCUGAUACAAGUAUUAUGUGUAGUAUGUUUAGACUUAAAGCUUCCCCCAACUUUUCGUAGAGAAAGUUGAGAAAAUUUGGAUUAUGCCUAAUGAUUUUUCAUAAAGAUCUUUGGAAAUGAAUUUAAGCGCGAAAGCCACCCACCAACUCUUUCACCUCCAUUUAUACCAAGAUGGAAUCAAUUUUACGAAAAGGGUGCACCAAUCUUCAAAUGAAUUUGAACAAAGAUCUUUGAGAAUGGGUUUGAGGCUGGCCGGAAGGUAAACAGAAGCGUAUGAAAUGUUUUUUCACACUUGCGGGUGGAAUUUCCGGCUUAGCAUGCACCUCGAUCACAUUCUGGCCUUUACGAGUUUGGGUUGUUCACCAAUCCGUCAGAACAAACCAUUUUAUGUAAAGAGAUUAAUACAAUUCCAUUAAAUUGUAUACAAAAAA